AUGUCGGUUUCUAACAAGCUGACCCUGGACAAGCUGGACGUGAAAGGGAAGCCAGUCAUUAAGAGAGUCGACUUCAAUGUUCCUAUGAAGAACAACCAGAUAACAAACAACCAGAGGAUUAAGGCUGCUGUCCCAAGCAUCAAAUUCUGCUUGGACAAUGGAUCCAAGUCAGUAGUUCUUACGAGACACCUAGGCCGGCCUGAUGGUGUCCGUAUGUCUGACAAGUACUCCUUAGAGCCAGUUGCUGCAGAACUCAAAUCUCUGCUGGGCAAAGAUGUUCUGUUCUUGAAGGACUGUGUAGGCCCAGAAGUGGAGAAAACCUGUACCAACCCAGCUGCUGGGUCUGUCAUCCUGCAGGAGAACCUCCGCUUUCAGGUGGAGGAAGAGGGAAAGGAAAAGAUGCUUCCGGAAACAAGGCUAAAGCCGAGCCAGCCAAAUUAGAAGCUUUCCAAGCUUCACUUCCCAAGUUAGGGGAUGUCUAUGUCAGUGAUGCUUUUGGCACUGCUCACAGAGCCCACAGCUCCAUGGCAGAAGUCAAUCUGCCACAGAAGGCUGGUGGUUUUUUAAUGAAGAAGGAGCUGAACUACUUUGCCAAGGACUUGGAGAGCCCAGAGCGACACUUUCUGGCCAUCCUGGGCAGAGCUAAAGUUGCAGACGAGAUCCAGCUGAUCAACAAUAUGCUGGACAAAGUCAAUGAGAUGAUUAUUGGUGGUGGAAUGGCUUUUACCUUCCUUAAGGUGCUCAACAACAUGGAGAUUGGCACUUCUCUGUUUGAUGAAGAGGGAGCCAAGAUUGUCAAAGACCUAAUGUCUAAAGCUGAGAAGAAUGGUGUGAAGAUUAUCUUGCCUGUUGACUUUGUCGCUGCUGUCAAGUUUGAUGAGAAUGCCAAGACCGGCCAAGCCACUGUGGCUUCUGGCAUAUCUGCUGGCAGGAUGGGCUUGGACUGUGGUCCUGAAAGCAGCAAGAAGUAUGCUGAGGCUGUCACUUGGGCUAAGCAGAUUGUGUGGAAUGGUCCUGUGGGGGUUUUUGGGGUUUGGGGGCUGAAUCUUGACAUGGAAGCUUUUAGCUAA